rnacentral:lncRNA from 1 species
CCUGGAGGCCUGCAGUCCGCGCGGCCGCGGGGAGGGACGGGAGGCCCUGACGUACAGGUUAUAAGUGCCAUGGCUAUGACGAGUGUCAAAUUGCUUGCUGGUGUUUUAAGAAAGCCAGAUGCCUGGAUUGGACUCUGGAGUGUUCUCCGAGGGACACCUUCUUCACACAAACUCUGCACUUCCUGGAAUCGAUACUUGUAUUUUUCUAGUACCAAGUUACGUGCACCAAAUUAUAAAACACUUUUCCGUAAUCUUUUCUCACUGAGACUCCCAGGGCUUUUAAUAUCUCCAGAAUAUAUUUUUCCAUUUUCCAUAAGACUGAAAAGUAAUAUAAGCUCUAAAAAAUCUAAAAAGUCUCUGCAAAAAGUAGAUGAUGAAGAAGACUCUGAUGCAGAAAGUGAUCAUGACGAGAUGAGUGAGCAGGAAGAGGAGUUUGAGGAUGACCCUACUGUAGUCAAAGACUAUAAAGACUUGGAAAAAACAGUGCAGUCUUUCCGGUAUGAUGUUGUCCUGAAGACAGGUCUAGAUAUUGGGAGAAACAAAGUGGAAGAUGCAUUCUACAAAGGUGAACUCAGGCUGAAUGAGGAAAAAUUAUGGAAGAAAAGCAGAACGGUGAGAUACUAACCUAAAAUAGCCAGAUGUUUUUGUCUCUUGCUCUGUUAGUACUCAAUUAAUGCUGCCCCAAAAUUUCCCUCCGGCUCCUCUUCUUUCUCUGAGGUCCUCUGUGGUCUUCCAGUUCAAGCUGGUGAGAAUCACAUAUAGCCUUCAAUCACACAGGCCCUUUCACUUUUGCAGCCUUAAUGACCCCCUGAUAAAGCUUCUCCGUUUUUAAAUUUUAGAAUAAGCCACUGUUAGAAAUGGCAAAAAUCCAUUAAUUAAACUUCCAGGUCAUUAAUGUUAGCCCUUAUGGAAUCCUCAUAAUUAGAUUUCAAAGAAACAUUUGAUCCACGUAGAGGUGUUCUUUGGCUGAUGGUAUCUGAGCAGAUGUGUAAUUCUGUACAGCUCAGCAGUACCCACCGAGUGCUUGCUGGAUGCAUGGCUUUGUGUGCACAGCAGCUAUAAAAAAAGGAUGUGUUCUGUAUUUUCUGACAAAUCCAUAUCAAUACUGUUGUUAAGUGAAAGUCAGUUACGAGAAAAUGUGUUUCCAGGCCUCCCC